UAAAGUGAAAAGUUGAUUAGAAACUUGGAAAAGUGAAUUGUUAUGAAAGGAUGAAAAUUUGAAAAGAAACAAGAAAAAAAAAAUACCCUUGAAACCAUAGAGCAUAGAAAAAAAGAUUAGAAAAAGAAAAGCAAAGAAAAUGCUCAUGGUUGUGUGGAGUUGAAAAGAAAAAGAAAAAGAAAAAGAUAGGGACCAAGGAAAAGGAAAUUGUAUAGAGUUGAAUGUUUGGGAAUGCUCCCUUAGGAUAUGCAACUUUGUAAAUUCUCUUAAUCAUAUCCUUUCUUGUAACCUAAGCCACAUUACAACCUUUGAAAGACCUCUUGAUUCUCAAUUUUCACAUGAUUUGGUAUUUGUUAUGAUAACCGCAUGAUUUGAGUUGUUGUUGAUUUAAUUGCUUGGAUGAGUGAAAGUAACCCUUCAUGUUAUUCAUCAUUAUUAUGAUGUGUGUGUAAGUUUGAUUCAAUUUUGACAUAUAUGGUUUUGAAUUCCAUUGGAAUGAUUUUUGCACUCAACCAUUUUCCUUAUUCAUGUUUUGUCU
rnacentral:lncRNA from 1 species